UGCGCAGGCGGAACAAUUAGUCAGUGGUGAAAUCCUACGGCUCAACUGUAGAAUUGCCAUUGAAACUGUCGCUCUUGAGUAUAGUUGAAGUGGGCGGAAUAUGUCAUGUAGCGGUGAAAUGCAUAGAGAUGACACAGAACACCAAUCGCGAAGGCAGCUCACUAAACUAUAACUGACGCUCAGGCACGAAAGCGUGGGUAGCGAACAGGAUUAGAUACCCUGGUAGUCC
rnacentral:rRNA from 1 species